UCAUCAGGAGCACAAGAAGGGUUCCUUCAAAACCCUAAAACCCACAAAUUCAACAAAAUCAAAGGGAAAUAGAGCUAGAGAAUUGGGGCUUUAACUAAAUUCGUGAUCACCUCAGUAAAGGGAUCAUAAGGUAUGCUUAAUUUCAUUACAAAGGAAUCGAGUCUUUAAGCGGACAAACCGGAGUGGACACGCGCUUGAAGGGAAUGCUUUAAAGGUGAAUGUCGAGGGUCCCGGAUGAAGAUCAAGCAUCGAGCAAGAACCGAACACACGUUAAACAAAGCU
rnacentral:lncRNA from 1 species